UAAGGAAUAUUGGUCAAUGGGCGGAAGCCUGAACCAGCCAUGCCGCGUGCAGGAAGACGGCCCUACGGGUUGUAAACUGCUUUUAUACCGGAAUAAACCUUUGGUCGUGACCGAAGCUGAAUGUACGGUAAGAAUAAGGAUCGGCUAACUCCGUGCCAGCAGCCGCGGUAAUACGGAGGAUCCAAGCGUUAUCCGGAUUUAUUGGGUUUAAAGGGUGCGUAGGUGGCCUGUUAAGUCAGGGGUGAAAGACGGUAGCUUAACUAUCGCAGUGCCUUUGAUACUGACGGGCUUGAAUACACUAGAGGUAGGCGGAAUGUGACAAGUAGCGGUGAAAUGCAUAGAUAUGUCACAGAACACCAAUUGCGAAGGCAGCUUACUAUGGUGUUAUUGACACUGAGGCACGAAAGCGUGGGGAUCAAACA
rnacentral:rRNA from 1 species